UCUCAGCCUGUCAGCGACCGGGUCCGACGGCUGAGGAGCGCCCGCGCGGCAGCAGGCAUCUUUGAAACACUCUGCUUGCAGUACUGCUUUAACCUAGCUAUAGAAGCAAAAUUCAAAAUGGGACAAAUCCAAAAAUCAUGGAAAACAUGAGUUGUGAAGUUAAAUGUGAGAGCAUUUGAAAAGAAAAAUGUGUUUUCAAGGACUUCUCUACAACUUCUCAAAAAAUCCACUCACAUUCUGGAAUCCUAGAUGAUCUACAUGGAAGAAAUGUCCCAAACUAACUUGAAUUGUUGGCUAGUCUUUGAACAUUUUCAAUGAAAAUAUCCUCAAACCGCUUGCAUGUGAGAGCAGCUCUUCCAUUUACUUAUGGAAUGUUACAGAGCAUUUCUUACAGAAAGGUUACUUUUCAUUUUUAAAAAUGUUUCUUUGGAAAAGGUACAACUUACCUCACUGCACUCUCAUAACUGGGGAAAAUUAAUCUGGUCUAAUGAAGAAAAAAUAGGAAAACUAGGAGUUAAAGUUGCUAUGCUUACCAUACUCACUAUUAAUUUGGAAAGGUAAAAAGGCAAGUGAAAAAAAAGUGCGUAAGAGAUGAGAAAGUACUGGGGCUUCCUUCUUAAUGUGGUUCCGCAGCACUCAACUGUGGUUUAUACUCAGAGU